UCCCAAGAUGGCGCUGGCGAGCGUGAUGCGGGCGGAGGCUCCGCUCCCGUCCCCAUCCCUCCUCCCGGGGCUCGCAGCGUCUCGGGACCCGGCCGGGCACCUCCCCCGGCAUCGCCGCCCCCUCCUCCGGGAGCUGCCGCCGCUGCUGCCCGGGCCCGGCAUCCAGCUCCUGCACGGCACCACCCCCCUGGCUUUCGACGUGUCCAGGAUGGGCUGCAGUUAAACUAACUGGUGAGCAGAAGGACAGGAUGAUUGCUGUGUCUGUGGUGUUAAGUAACCAAUUAAGCCGGUAUAAAUGGCUACUGUGUGUGCUUCCAGGCCUGCUAGAAGUGCUGAAGAUUGUCGGAAGAAGUAAAGGACCCUCAGCACCCCCCACCACGUUUUUGUAUGCCUGUGGGGAAAUGUUCUAGAAGAAUGAUGUAAGUAUCCUCAUGAAUAUGCAUGUCUGUACGUAAUGAAUAUGUAUGCUUAGUGACUAUAUAAGGAUGGCUUGUUUAGCAAUUCGGAGACACAGGUUAGGAGGAGCUGUCUCCCGUGUCUCCUGGCACUGCAAUAAAGAAUAGCUGCUUGAAACUUGAAA